rnacentral:rRNA from 1 species
GACGAACGCUGGCGGCGUGCUUAACACAUGCAAGUCGAACGGAAAGGCCCUGCUUUUGUGGGGUGCUCGAGUGGCGAACGGGUGAGUAACACGUGAGUAACCUGCCCUUGACUUUGGGAUAACUUCAGGAAACUGGGGCUAAUACCGGAUAGGAGCUCCUGCUGCAUGGUGGGGGUUGGAAAGUUUCGGCGGUUGGGGAUGGACUCGCGGCUUAUCAGCUUGUUGGUGGGGUAGUGGCUUACCAAGGCUUUGACGGGUAGCCGGCCUGAGAGGGUGACCGGCCACAUUGGGACUGAGAUGCGGCCCGGACUCCUACGGGAGGCAGCAGUGGGGAAUAUGGCACAAUGGGCUGAAGCCUGAUGCAGCAACGCCGCGUGCGGGAUGACGGCCUUCGGGUUGUAAACCGCUUUCGCCUGUGACGAAGCGUGAGUGACGGUAAUGGGUAAAGAAGCACCGGCUAACUACGUG